rnacentral:rRNA from 1 species
GUAAGGGCGGACGGUGGAUCCCUCGGCAGCCGGAGGCGAUGAAGGGCGUGGCCAGCUGCGAUAAGCCCCGGGGAGCCGCUGAGCGGGCUAUGAUCCGGGGAUUCCCGAAUGGGGCAACCCACCGUACCGUUGAGGUGCGGUAUCCGCCGCCGAACACAUAAGCGGUGGAGGCGAACCCCGCGAAGGGAAACAUCCCAGUAGCGGGAGGAAAAGAAACCAACACCUGCCGCAAGGCAGGCGCGUUCGCCAAAAGCGGGCGUGGGGAUUCCCCUAGUAGCGGCGAGCGAACGGGGAGGAGCCCAAACCUCAUGGGUGCAAUAGGCCGCAGCCGUUGCCCGUGGGGGGUUGUGGGGCGAUGGUGGGGGCCGCUGCGGAGGCCCCGGGGAGUUACAAAGGCCUUCUCUAGCCGAACGGCCAGCAAAGUCACUGGAAAGGGCGACCGGAGAGGGUGAAAGUCCCGUAGGCGAAAGGGAAGGCCCUCCCUGGCCAUCGACCCCGAGUAGCGUCGGACACGAGGAAUCCGGCGCGAAGCUGGGGGGACCACCCUCCAAGGCUAAAUACUACCGGCUGACCGAUAGUGCACCAGUACCGUGAGGGAAAGGUGAAAAGCACCCCGGGAGGGGAGUGAAAUAGAACGUGAAACCGUCCGCCUACAGUGCAGUGGGAGCCUUUUCCGCCUUGGCCUUCGGGCCCUGGCGGAGGGGUGACCGCGUGCCUUUUGCAGUAUGAGCCGGCGAGUUACGCUCCGUGGCGAGGUUAAGCCCCUUUGGGGCGGAGCCGUAGCGAAAGCGAGUCCGAACAGGGCGACUAGUCACGGGGCGUAGACCCGAAGCCAGGUGAUCUACCCAUGGGCAGGGUGAAGUGCGCCUAAACGCGCACGGAGGCCCGAACCCGUUGGCUGUGCAACGCCAUGGGAUGACCUGUGGGUAGCGGUGAAAAGCCAAUCGCACCUGGUGAUAUCUGGCUCUCCCCGAAAUGGCUCUAGGGUCAGCCUCACGUUACAGGCGGCCGGGGGUAGAGCACUGGCUGGGGAAGGGGGGAAACUCCCGACUCCAAUCAAACUCCGAAUACCGGCCGUCGUUUCGUGGGAGUGAGACUGUGGGUGAUAACGUCCAUAGUCGAGAGGGAAACAACCCAGACCGCCAGCUAAGGCCCCCAAAUCCAGGCUAAGUGGGAAAGGCGGUGUGGUUGCUGAAACAGCUGGGAGGUUGGCUUAGAAGCAGCCAUCCUUUAAAGAGUGCGUAAUAGCUCACCAGUCUAGCGACCGCGCGCCGAAAAUGUAACGGGGCUAAGCCUGGUGCCGAAGCUGCGGGGCGUCUGUCUUCGGACGGGCGUCGGUAGGGGAGCGUUCCCAGCGGGUCGAAGCCGCGUCGCGAGGCGCGGUGGACUGCUGGGAAGUGAGAAUGCCGGCAUGAGUAGCGCAAGACGGGUGAGAAUCCCGUCCACCGAAUGCCCAAGGUUUCCUGGGGAAGGCUGAUCCACCCAGGGUUAGGCGGCCCUAAGCCGAACCCGAAAGGGGGUAGGCGAUGGACAGCCGGUUAAUAUUCCGGCCCCUCCGGGCCUGCGUUAUGAGCGAAGGGGGGACGCCGCGCGAGCCCCUCCGCAGGCUCACGGCUAUGCCUGUCCAAGCACCGAGCCAGAGGGGGUAGGCAAAUCCGCCCCCUCGCAACCGGCCUGUCCUCGUCCUUCGGGAUGGGGGCGGGUCGUCCAGGUGAGGUGUGAUGGCGAGUCCCGUAAGGGGCGAAGGGAGACGGCUUGAGCGGCCGAGAAAAGCCUCUAGCCAGUAGGUCCGGAGCCCGUACCGCAAACCGACACAGGUGGGCGAGGUGAGUAUCCACAGGUGGACGAGCCAACUCCGGUCAAGGAACUCGGCAAAAUGGCCCCGUAACUUCGGGAGAAGGGGCGCCUUCUGGGCUGGUGGGUAACCUUCCGGCCUGGGAGGCCGCAGAGAAUCGGCCCGGGCGACUGUUUACCAAAAACACAGGUCCCUGCUAACCCGAAAGGGGAUGUAUAGGGACUGAAACCUGGCCACUGCCGGUAGGUCAAGGGGAGGGGUGCAAGCCCUGAACCGAAGCCCCGGUGAAGGCCGGCCGUAACUAUAACGGUAGGAGCGGGGGCGCAGGUCCCCGCGAGGGCCGUUUCAAAAUCCGGCUAUAUGCUGGGACGGCCCGUGUAUCCCAGGCUACCGAGGAGGUGACAAAGCCGUGGGUGGGGCCAAUCAGCAGGAAAGGCUCUCCAAUACCGAAGCAGCAAGGUGGUUCCUUGCAGGGCUCAUCGAGGGCGAAGGGAGCUUUGCCGUAUCCAUCAAGGAGCAUCCCACAGCCAGAUACGGCUUUUAUGUGGAUCCCGAAUUCUUCAUCUAUCAGCACAAAAGCGGCCGCAGGCUCCUUGAGAUGGCGAAGGAGAUCUUCGGGACGGGCAGGAUCUACCCUAAACCUGGGAAUCCCGAGGUCCUCGUCUUCGCCAUCACUGCUAGAAGGAGCCUUAAGGAGAAGGUGCUCCCGUUCGUCGAAAGGUAUAUGGUUUUCUCCACGAAGAAGAAAGAGCUUCAGCUCUUUGUAGAGAUCGUGGAGGCCCUUGAGCGCAAGGAACACCAUUCCGCUUUCGGGCUGGCGCGCAUCGUCGAGAAGGCGUAUGCGUUGAAUCCGGCCGGGAAGGGGAGGGAGAGGAAGCGACCUCUCCUCGAGGUCUUGGAGAGAAUCCUCAGAGGCCAUACGCCGGACCCCAACAAUUCCGUGACGCGUGACGGGUGACGUGUUACGGAGCUUGGGGAAGAUAUGGUCCAGGCCCCGUGGCGACACGGGGGAAACCUGCCUAAGGUAGCGAAGUUCCUUGUCGGGUAAGUGAAAGAACUUGCCCUGCCGUCCCGCGAGGGACGGUGAAAAUCCGGCUCAUAUCGGGGAAGCCCUCC